rnacentral:lncRNA from 1 species
ACAAGCCUUCAAAAAAAAAAAACUAGCAGAUAACAAAGAAACAUGGCUGGAGGCAGAGAAUUCAAGGUGAGUACGAGGAAGCAAGAUGCGGUGGCCGCUGCACUGCCAUUGCAAGAGCACCGGCUACCACUCUCCAACCUCGACUUGCUUCUGCCACCAGUCGAUGUGGGAGUGUUCUUCUGCUACAAGAACCACAGCAGCCCCUCUGUGGCCGCCUCCAGGGUCGGGGUUCUGAAGAAGGGCUUGGCCCAAGCCCUGGUGACAUACUAUGCCUUUUCGGGUGAGGUGGUGGCCAACUCUGUUGGGGAGCCUGAGAUUCUGUGCAACAACCGUGGGGUUGAUUUCACUGAAGCUUUUGCUGACGUUGAACUUAAAGAGCUCAACCUUCAUAACCCUGAUGAGAGCAUUGAAGGAAAAUUGGUUCCCAACAAGAAGCAUGGGAUUCUGGCUGUCCAGGUUGAUAUCCGACUCCUGUUCCCUCUCACUUCAACGUUUUAAGUUUUGUUUUUUGUUUAUGAAAUUUGUAGUUUUGAACCAGAAGUUGACCCAUUUCCUCUAGCAGAAGUAAUCAAAUUUCUCUAGUUGAAUGUACAAAUUUGCAGGCAACUGAACUCAAGUGUGGAGGGAUGGUGGUGGCAUGCACAUUUGACCAUCGCAUAGCAGAUGCCUACUCAGCCAACAUGUUUCUGGUUUCAUGGGCAAAGAUGGCCAACUCAGAAUCUCCAGUCAUUAUCGUACCUUCUUUUCGUCGUUCUUUGUUAAACCCUCGCCGUCCCGGUCAGAUCCAUCCUUCCCUAAAUGACCUGUACGUCCCUGUCACAUCUCUGCCCCCUCCUCCCAAAAUGGAGACCAAUGAUCAUGAAGACCGACUUCUCAGUCGCAUAUACUACGUUAAAGCAGAGCAACUUAUCAAGCUCCAAGCACUUGCGAGCUCCAGUGGUUGCAAAAGGUCCAAGCUGGUGUCCUUUUCUGCAUUCUUGUGGAAAAUGGUUGCCGGAAGCGAAACCGGCAAUGAUGUCGAAAAAUUAUGCAAAAUGGGUAUUGUAGUUGACGGAAGGUCUAGAUUAGCCGAUGAAAAUAAGAUGGCUAGUUACUUUGGCAAUGUUUUGUCUAUUCCAUUCGGAGAUAAAGUAAUACAAGAGCUCAAUGAAAAAUCACUGAAUUGGGUAGCUGAUGAAGUUCAUGAGUUUCUGGAAUGUGCGGUAACGAAGGAACAUUUCUUAGGGCUGAUAGACUGGGUGGAGGCUCACCGCCCGGUGCCAGGCAUGGCCAAGAUAUGCUGCAGCGGAAGCGAAGAGGGUCCUGCUUUCGUGGUGUCCUCCGGCCAAAGGCUUCCGGUUUCUGAAGUGGAUUUCGGUUGGGGGGCACCGCUUUUUGGGUCGUACCAUUUUUCAUGGGGAGGCAGCUCCGGGUAUGUGAUGCCGAUGCCGAGUCCGGUGGGGAAUGGGGACUGGGUUGUGUACAUGCACAUGUUGAAAGGGCAGUUGGACGUGAUAGAGAAGGAGGGUGGUCAUGUGUUCAAGCCCUUGACUUAUGAUUAUCUUGUUUAAUUAAAUUUUAUUAUUGUAAGUAUUUAUAAUUACCAAAUGUUUAUCUCAAUAAUUCUGUAUACACGGAGAUUGAAGUUAAAUUCCUUCUAUAUUGUACCUUAUGUAUGAUCAAUCAGGUACCCAAUGUUUAGAAGAGGGUACCUCAAGUUAUGCUCAGUUUGACAGUUUAAUAUUUCCGUUAAUUUUUUCGUUAAAUAUAAGAGAAAAUUUUGAUUUAUGUCCUAUUUAUAAAUAUAGACAUAAAUAUAUUUGUUUUGUGGGUUAAAUGACCAUUAGUCUUGGGUCUUUAUUAUUUUCUAGGUCUUUUAGGAGCACAUGAACAUGAAUUAAUAUUUUUGGUUAGGUUGAUAUAAUAUGACAUAAUCUAAUUUUAUGUUAAAAAAAUAUGUAUUUGUGAUUUGACCACCUAUUACACUACUUUCAGUGAAUUAAUUCGAUAUAUCUCAGUGGAGUAGUCUUGUGAGUGUUUAGGUUACACCGACUAAAUUUCUUAAAUAUAAAAUUCAAUUAUGUUUGAAGAAAAUAUUAAUACAUCCUUAUAUAGAUAAAUAUUAAUUCAAUUUUUGGAUAUAUAGUGAAAUAUAUACAGUUGUCUUCCAGAGCAGGACACCACUUUGAAAUUAAAGCGUGGUGCUCCUCAUUUUGCUCACUUUCAGGUCGCAUUUCCACAACUGCACAUUUUAGUGUCUAAAUGUGUAGAUCAUUUCUGUAAAGUUUCAUCAAAUUUGGAGAUCAUUUGAGCUUCCGUAAUUGUGAUUUACACGAAUAGUUUUGUUCUGUUUGGACAGUUUUUGUUAUGUUGAUUUAUUGAAUCUAAUUCGGUACCCAAAUGAUCUACAAAUUAGAUGAAACUGUGUAGGAAUGAUAUACACACUAUGUUAUAGACAUAAUACGGUUAAUAUGUGAAAAUGCGACUUGAAAAUGAACGAAAUAAGAAGGUUCACACUUUAAUUUCAAAGAGAGACACCGCUCUAAAAGGAAAUUGUGUAUACACAUAUGUCAUAUGAGUGUUUAGGUGCUUGCUAUGCUCUAAAUUGGCUCUAACUUUCUCUUUCUUAUGAUAUAUAUGAUGCAAGUUUUACGGAGAUAUUAGUUUAAACUUCGGACAAAACUCUCCUACCUCAUCUUGAAAUCUACAACCCAUAUCUCUCUCUCUCUCNNNNNNNNNNNNNNNNNNNNUACUACUACUACUACUACUCUACUACUACUACUACUCUCUCUACUCUCUCUCUCUCUCUCUCUCUCUCUCUCUCUCUCUCUCUCUCUCUCUCUCUCUCUCUCUCUCUCUCUCCUCAGUUUCUUUUUAUCUUCUUCUUUCUCCGUCCUUGACCUUCUCUUUCUCUUUCUCUUUCUCAUCCCUUUCCCUUUUCUUAAUUUUCUUUCUCCCUUCCCCUGUUUGCCUUUUCUCUGUCUCCUUUUUCCCCCACGUACCGUCAACAAUGACCCAAAUCCUUCUUAUCUCACCACAAAAGAUAAGACCAGCCUACCAAAUAAUAUCAUUGUAGGUGACUGACAACCAAUAACUAUCAAUUUAGCUAUUUCUCAUGUCCAAAGCAAAGAUUCCGGGCUGCUAGCAGUUAGUAACUUAAUUAGUACGUACAUUGUUUAACGUAAGCAGUUGGCUAAGCUCAUUUCUCGUUUAGGCAUUACAGCUAGGGUCUUAAUAAGGCUUAAAAUUUGUGACAUUAAUCCUAUGUGUCAUGUUAUAUAAGUAUGUAAAAAUAUUUACUUCUGAUUCCAGAUAAUAUAUCUUACCAAAUCAUUAGAUUACAUUACAAAUUUGACCAUUUCUAUUUCCCUUUAGAUUUUAAGAGGUGAAUCAAUGAUAUUAAUGAACUUUAUUAGCCUCUGCAGCGAUGUGCCUCUUAUUAAAGACUUUUAACCUUGUAGGCAUUUGCAGCUGCUAUAUGUGAUCUCUGUCACUUUGGCAAUAUCUUUAAACCCAUCAGGCAUUGAAACUGUUAUGUUCUAGAUAUCGAUUAUGUGGGGAUUAGGAUGAGACAGAGUGGGGACAACCACGACAAUCCUUGUCGUUCUCUUAGAAAAUCAUUUUUCUUAUCUCCCCCUAACUACGAGAAGACUAUCUCAUCAAAGUGACAUUCCGCAAGUCUAGCGAUAAAGAGAUGACUUGUCAAGAGUUUCAAAUGGCGGAUAAUUAUUGGAGUUUCAUAUCCAACACAUAAAUAUUCGUUUCUGAGGACCCAAUUUUGAUGCGUUGUGGGGGUGCAAUAAGCACAUAUGUUGCACAACCAAGUAUGCGUAAAUCUUAGGCUCAUGUCUAGUUACCAACUGGUACACAGGGAAUGGUUGGCUAGGAGUGGGCUUAAAAAUGAAUAAGUAAGGUUGCAUGCAAUAUUGCAUAACCCCAAGCAGAUAUAGGCAAGUUGGUGCGCAUAACCAGUACCCUAGCCAUCAUUUAUGGUGCUUUCUGCGAGACCAUUUUUGUAUGCAAAUGGGGUACAAGAUGCUCUACAUUGAUCAUGAUAGACAUACAAUAACCAUCAAAUCCUUUUGAUGUGAACUCUCAUCAUUGUCAAGUCCUAUAGACUUGGUGAUUAGGGUGAUAAGCCCUUAAACACAUAAUAUUUGCUAAGAGUUUUGCAAAUGUAGUAUUUCUUGUGAAUAAUAAUUCGACAUAUGACUAGUGUGUCGAUACGUCCUCUAGAUACAUAAUGUACUUUAAUGGUCCGCAUUUCUGGAUGGAUAAGUCCACAGUCAUCACAUUGUAUUCUUUGUAAGAAUGGAAUAUAUUGGUUUAUAUCUUUAGCAUAAGGAGGUCUCGAUCUUAUUUUUUUGCUAAAGUAUAGACUUUGCAAAACGAGUAAUUUUGCCUUUGAAAUAAUCAAUAAGGCAUAAUGGGAGGCAUGUUGUGUAUCACGUGCUUUAGAGUGCAAUGACCGCAUUAUAGCAACAUUAGCUAGAACUGGCCAGUGUCUGGUGGUCAGAGUCGGUGUCGUCACCUUGCAGGGUAACAGAGUUUUGUCCCAUUUUAUUAUUCACUCAAAGGAUAGGAUAUCCGUGUGAGUUCUUUAAAAUACGAAUCAUCAUGUCAUGACCAAGAAGUUUCUUGGUGGUCAUGCUAAAGUCUGUGUAAGUCCCUAUCCCAUGUUUCAAUGUAGGUGACUAGUUAGAUUUUUUAAAAUGCGUGUCCUACCACAUUUUAUUUAAGGUAAUAUCAUUCCAUUCUCACAUUAGAUUUUCAUAUGAUGAUCGUUGGUACGAAUUUCUUGAAACUUUAACAUGGUUUGAUUAGUGUGGUUAAUUCCACUGUCAGCCAAGCACUUGGUUUUCUUCUCGAUACAUUCCUUACAAGUAUAUAAGAGUUUAUUAAAAUAUACCUCGUAUUCUUUGGAGUAUUUCGAGUCUCAUCUAGCGUCCUCCUCACAAAUAAACCAAACAUACUUAGCAAAUAACAAAGAAAUUAUCCAAAAAAAAAAAAAAAAGCAAAUAACAAAGAAACACGCGUACAUGACCAACUUACUGCACCGGCUAGAUUAUAGAUUCAGAUCACUAGAUUACGAACCCUGCACAAUAGUUCCGAGUCAGAAGUAGAAUUUUUCUCUACUGUAACAACGGAGAAAAAGUAGAAACCAGCCCCCCGGCAAGCAACAUUGUAACAACCCUUAUUUGUUUUCAUUGUUCAUUGUAGGUCAUGACUCGCAAUCAAUAACUGCCAAGUUUAGUUAUUUCUCAUGUCCAAAGAUUCUGGGUUGUCGAACCCAUACAUAAUAAGUUAGUUCAUUGUUCAACGGAAGUACGUAGCUGGCUAAGCUCAGUUCUCCUUUUUCCCUUCCACAAGCCUACCUAUAUUUUUUAUUUUUAUUUUGAGGCAAAAACCUAUAAGUUUAUCAAAUUUAUGUAUUUUUGAUCGUCAACAUAAUUCAACAUCAAAUGAUAAUUAAGUAUAUAAAGGUUUUGAUUAGUUGAUUCAAACUUAAGCCAUUUAAGAACAUGUUCCAAUCAGAUUGUGCUGAACAAAUUGAUGUAAUGAAUGAUUAUAUAUAGCUGAGUUUCAGCAUUAUGUUCUUAGAAAUGUUAUUUCACUCUCUAAAUUAACUUCCUCGUCUAGCUAGUCCUCCUCACAAACCAAAGCAUACCAAACCAAACGAAACCAAACACAAUUAGCAAAUAAUAAAGAAACACAUGACUAACUUACUAGUUACUACACCAGAUUAUAGACUCCGAUCACUAUAUUACCAACACUGUAAAUGCAUAACGGUUCUCAUAAGAAGAAGAAGAAGUUUCCUCCACUGUAACCACUAGCUGGCUCCAGUGGUCCAGGUCUCCAGGAACUAACAAAUAUGCAAGUUGAAUUAACUCCUUACUUUGGUUUGCUGUUCAGAUAAUAGCUUAUAAGUUAUAAUUAAAUUUAGCCUUACCUCAAAUCGUCAUUGUCGCGGACUCACAUGAACUAGUUGUUUAAGUUAAUUUAUUACCACACCAACUUUUCCAAAGAUGUGAGCCUAUAUAAGUAAUCCAGAAGAAGUUGGUACAUUGUGAUGAAAAGGUAAAUAGUUUGGUAGCUCGAUAUUUUAUUGCUUAAGUUGCUUUCACCUCUAAAACCUACCCAUGCAGCUCAGCUUACUGCUUAUUGCUAUACUAAUCAAGGCCCAUUUAGGAUAACUUCGAUUUAAAAAAAAAAAAAUUAGGAGUGUUUGGUAAAUCUAAAAUGGAUCAGUUUUUAGAAGCAACAUCGAUGUAAGCAAUCAUCUAGAUUCACCCCUUAAAGGAAAAAGAAAUGGUAAAACUGGUAAUGCAAGCUUAUAAUUUGACAAGAUGAAAAAAAAAAAAAACUUAUGAUUUGACAAGAUAAAUUAUGUGAAAUCAGAAAUAAAUAAUUUUACAUACUUACGUGACAAUACUUACAUGACAUGAUUAAUGUCACAAAUUUUAGGCCUAAAAUCCUAUAUCAGUGCUCUUUCUCGAUUGAAAUUUGCAUCGUAACAGGUGUAAUAGUAUUACAAAGAACUACCAACCUGAUUUGGUGAACACAUUUAAUUAAUUAAUAAUUACAGUGAGUUUUAGUUAGGAAUAUUAUUCCACUCUCGAACUACACACUGCCUAUAAAUUCACUCCUCAUCUAGUGUCUUCCUCAUAAACCAAACCAAACCAACCAAACUUAACUAGCAGAUAACAAAGAAACAUGGCUGGAGGCAGAGAAUUCAAGGUGAGUACGAGGAAGCAAGAAGUGGUGGCCGCUGCACUGCCAUUGCAAGAGCACUGGCUACCACUCUCCAACCUCGACUUGCUUCUGCCACCAGUCGAUGUGGGAGUGUUCUUCUGCUACAAGAACCACAGCAGCCCCUCUGUGGCCGCCUCCAGGGUCGGGGUUCUGAAGAAGGGCUUGGCCCAAGCCCUGGUGACAUACUAUGCCUUUUCGGGUGAGGUGGUGGCCAACUCUGUUGGGGAGCCUGAGAUUCUGUGCAACAACCGUGGGGUUGAUUUCACUGAAGCUUUUGCUGACGUUGAACUUAAAGAGCUCAACCUUCAUAACCCUGAUGAGAGCAUUGAAGGAAAAUUGGUUCCCAACAAGAAGCAUGGGAUUCUGGCCGUCCAGGUUGAUAUCCGACUCCUGUUCCCUCUCACUUCAACGUUUUAAGUUUUGUUUUUUGUUUAUAAAAUUUGUAGAUUUGAACCAGAAGUGACUCAUUUCCUCUAGCAAAAGCAGCCUAGAAACUUAAAACCAUUAAGGACAAAGGAUGAUAAAACACAACUAGCUACAAAGAACAAAGAGUACGUAUUAAACGUAAAUGCUAGCCCAACUGACCAGGCUACAUGAUUACACUACCAAAAAUUAGGAUUGACUUCUGCACUAUAUAUGGUAAAGCUUUUAGGGCAUCCAAAAUUAGGGUUUUUCAGGUUUAAGGUGUGCUCCAGAGUUUUAUUUUCGAACUGUAAUUUGAUGAGGACCUAAAGCCGACUUGAUUUUAGACAUAUAUAACAAACAAUAUCAACACAAAGAAUCCAUGAGAAGCACGCAAAAUUUUAAGUGUCGCUAUCGCUGUCCCAGAGUUACGUACUCAUAGUAUUGUAUUCCUCUCCAAGUUCUUCUUACUGAAGCAAUAUCCAAAUCAAAUUUCUCUUGUUGAAUGUACAAAAUUUGCAGGCAACUGAACUCAAGUGUGGAGGGAUGGUGGUGGCAUGCACAUUUGACCAUCGCAUAGCAGAUGCCUACUCAGCCAACAUGUUUCUGGUUUCAUGGGCAAAGAUGGCCAACUCAAAAUCGCCACUCACUAUGGUACCUUCUUUUCGUCGUUCUUUUUUAAACCCUCGCCGUCCCGGUAAGAUCCAUCCUUCCCUAAAUGACCUGUACGUCCCUGUCACAUCUCUGCCCCCUCCACCCAAAAUGGAGACCAAUGAUCAUGAAGACCGACUCCUCAGUCGCAUAUACUACGUUAAAGCCGAGCAACUUAUCAAGCUCCAAGCACUUGCGAGCUCCAGUGGUUGCAAAAGGUCCAAGCUGGUGUCCUUUUCUGCAUUCUUGUGGAAAAUGGUUGCCGGAAGCGAGACCGGCAAUGAUGUGGAAAGAUCAUGCAAAAUGGGUAUUAUAGUUGACGGACGGUCUAGAUUGGCCGAUGAAAAUGAUUUGAUGGCUAGUUACUUUGGCAAUGUGUUGUCUAUUCCUUUCGGCGGUAAAAAGAUACAAGAGCUCAAUGAAAAAUCACUGAAUUGGGUAGCUGAUGAAGUUCAUGAGUUUCUGGAAUCUGCUGCGACGAAAGAACAUUUCUUAGGGCUGAUAGACUGGGUGGAGGCUCACCGCCCGGUGCCAGGCUUGGCCAAGAUAUACUGCAACGGAAGCGAAGAGGGCCCUGCUUUCGUGGUGUCCUCCGGCCAAAGGUUUCCGGUUUCUGAAGUGGAUUUCGGUUGGGGGGCGCCGCUUUUCGGGUCGUACCAUUUUCCAUGGGGAGGCAGUUCCGGGUAUGUGAUGCCGAUGCCGAGUCCGGUGGGGAAUGGGGACUGGGUUGUGUACAUGCAUAUGUUGAAAGGGCAGUUGGACGUGAUAGGGAAGGAGGGUGGUCAUGUGUUCAAGCCCUUGACCUUUGAUUAUCUUGUUUAAUCAAAUUUUAUUAUUGUGAGUUUGUAUAAUUACCGAAUGUUUAUCUUAAUAAUCAUGUAUACACCGAGGUCCAAGUUAAUGGUGAAAGCAUAGCCGUACUAUAAUCAUUUAUAUGUGAGGUUCACCGUGCGACUGUAUCAAUGUCAUCUAAUAAUAUUCAUUCACGUACGUGCUUUGUAUAGGUACACAUAAGGUACGUAUUUAUUAUAACCAAAACUAAGUAUGUCAUUAUUUCAAUUUAAAAACACAAUUUCAAUGUCCUUAAAUUAUGUUUUGUAGUAGUGUGUAAUUCAUAGAUACUGAUUGAAAGCAACGUUGCUAGGUACGCAGACUAGGUGUGUUCAUAUAUAUAUAUAUAUAGAUUACAAAAAAAACCCUUCUCUUUGAACAUCAGUUUAUACAUCCUUAGUCAAAGAAAUUAAGAGUCAUGUCAAAACCUUAUCAUGCUUAGGAAUAUAUAUAUAUAUACACAGUCCGUCUCAGCUGCGGACGUCCGCAGCAAUGGUUUUGGUGCGGAUUUUCAUUUUUGCACCACUUUUCAAUCGAAUUUCCUCAUCUCCACCAUCUAGUAUCUAGAUAAUAUUGUGUAGAUUGUCACUGCAAAAUUUCAGCCAAUUUGGUAAUCGUUAAGGCCCUCAAAAUUGUGUUUUUCUGGUAUAAACAUGAACCGGACAGAAUUCAGUUCGUCCAUUUGUUUUUCGAGUUUGAGGGCCUUAACGAUUACCAAAUUGGUUGAAAUUUUACAGAGAUGAUCUACACAAUAUUAUCUAGAUACUAGACGGUGGAGAUGAGAAAAUUCGAUCGAAAAGUGGUGUAAAAAUGGAAAUCCGCACUAAAACUUUGGUGCAGACGUCUGCAGCUGAGAAAAAUUGUACAUAUAUAUAUAAUGUUGAUCAGGUAAAGACCUCCUUACCUUAGCUAAGGUGCGGAUUUCUUUAUUCGACCCACUUUUUAAUCACAUUUUCUCAUCUUAACCGUUCAGUAUCUAGGUAUGUAUGAGUAGAUCAUUUUUACAAAUUUUCAGCCAAAUUGAUAAUGGUUAAGGCAUUGAAAACUGUGAUUUAGAGUUAAAAGAAUGUACGGUUCAGGAUGAACAGAUUCGGUUCGUUCAUUGAUUUAAUGCAUUUUCGAUACGUUAACGAUAACCAAAUUAGCUAAAAAUUUACAGAGAUGAUCUAAUCAUGUAUAUCUAAAUACUGAACGGCUAUGAUGAGAAAAUAUGAUCAGAAAGUAGGUCAAAUUAAGGAAAUCCGUACCUUAACUAAGUUAAAGAGAUCCUUAUUUGAAAAGGACUGUGUGUGUGUGUGUGUGUGUGUGUGUGUGUGUGUGUGUGUGUGUGUGUGUGUGUGUGUGUGUGUGUGUGUGUGUGUGUGUGUGUGUGUGUGUCUAUAUAUAAAUAAGGGAUUCUUUUUUUUGGGACAGAUAUGAGAGAUCGGGAAUUACAUCAACUUUUUUAUUAUAUUUUUAAAUCUCCACUAGUUAGUUUGUAGGUCCAUAUAUAUAGAUCACUUAUGUAAAUUUUUAGCUAAUUUGGUGAUCGUUAAGGUGUCGAACAAGAUUAAAUCAAUGAACGAACCAAACAUGAACCGUUUAUGCUUAUAAUUAUAUAUCGCAGUUUAAGGUUAUAAUUAUAUAUCGCAGUUUUGAAUGCCUUAACAAUCACUAAAAUUUCUGAAAAUUUGCAUAAGUGAUCUACUCAUAUAGUGAUCUACGUGUUGAAAGAUAAAGAUGUGAUUUUGUAAUUAAAAAGUUGGUGUAAUCUCCAAAGUGGUAGAGGUAAAGUUAAGACAUAUGGAACACAUGAUGAUCAUCGGGUGAUAACACCAUUUAUUAACCUAGCUAGAUCGACAUUCAUGAGCACAAUCACAUAUCACUACUGGAAAAAAACACUUAGGAGACGGAAUUAUUUCGUCUCCUAAGUGACAGAUUUCGUCUCCUAAGUAUUUAGGAGAUGGAAUGUCCGUCGGCUAAGAUCUGUCGUCUAAGUGUGGUGAGGUAGACACUUAGGCGAUUGAACCUAAAAUUCUGUUGCCUAAGUGGUUCUUACAAGACAGAAUACUUUCGUCUCCUAAGCACUUAGGUGACGGAUUUUAUUUACAAUUAAAAAAAAUUUAUCCACUUAGGAGACGGAAUAGUUGAAUUCCGUCGCUAAAGGUCGAAAUUUUUUAAAAAAAAAUAAAAAAGCCACCGCAGGUUUUUUAUCCACUCACUCCGACCGCCCUAAAUACCACCACCACUGCAGGUUUUAGAAGUCACAACUAAAUGUCUUGAACUUCUUCUCAUCCUGCAUAUAAGUAGUAAAAACUUGCAUUUAUAAACUGCAUAUGGAAAAAUAAAAUUUACUGCCCUUCAGUAAAUUUCUACUAGGGAUCAGUAAACUUGCGAAAAAUAACUCCAUUUCAAUUUCAGGGGCACAACACACAAUAGAUACCAAUUCUUACNNNNNNNNNNNNNNNNNNNNAAAAGAUGGGUUUCCUUCUAUUGAUAAGGUUCGUGAGUGUGUGAUUUAAAAGAAUUGAUAUGUUUUUGAAAAAUUUUGGUUUAGAAUUUUCAUGAAAUUUUACGCGGGAAGAUGGGCGCUCAAAUUUUUAGAACUUAAGCGACUGAAUGUUCUAUUUCCGUCGCCUAAGUGAUUCAUAAUUUUAUUUUAUUUUUAAAAAAACAUUCCGUCUCCUAAGUGAUUCACAUAAAUUUUUUAAUUUUAAAUUUUUCAAAAUACCGUCGUCUAAGAAAAAUAUUCCGUCGCUUAAGUACCACUUAAGCGACGGAAAUUCCGUCUCCUAAAUCGUUCUUAGGAGACGAAAUCGAAAUAUUUCGUCUCCUAAGAACAACUUAGGAGACGAAAAUUGUUUCGUCGCCUAAGUAGAAAAUUCCGUCUCCUAAGUGUUAUUUUCCAAUAGUGUAUGAUCAUAUGCAUAAAAGAAAAAAAAUCAUAACCUCGAUCUCAAAAGCUUUAAAGAGUUCAUAAUAGGGGGGCAAAAGUACAAGCUCGAGGGCUGAUAAAUGCCACAACUACAUGGAGAAAUACUCUUUUUUUUUAUUUUUAUUUUUUUUAUAACAGAGGACGAGCUAUAUGCCAAAACCUCUAUUGAGUUUUAUUUAAAAGAAAAAAUAAAAGAAUAAAAAAAUAAGGAGGGGACAUUAAGCAUAACUCUUUAAUAAGAAAAGUUACCAAAAUGAUAAGAAGCUCUAAUAGACAGAUAAACAAAAACCAAUAUGCAACAAAAAGCACCCUACUGAAAACAAAAGUUAGGCCGGGAGUCCCAUAUAGUCUCUAUAGCAAUGAGAUAAAAUGAAAUGCGGAGGCAAAGCCCACCAUAUCAAACAAAGAAACCAUCAUGAAGUACCAUGGACAUAAGUCAAGGAGAGUUGUACUCCCAGCUCACACAGUCAAAGUAAGUAGCAAACGAAGAAAACCGAGACGAAAAAUCAUCGUCGAAGCAACAAUGACGACAUCAAAUGCGGCAGCAGGAAUGGUGGACGAAGCAAUAAAAGAUUGGAUACGAGCAUGAAGAGGAAUUUAAAAAAAAAAAAAGAAUAUGAAGAGGAACAUGGGGGCCAAGCCGUCAAAGACAUACAUGAUUCUCUUUGGUAUUUGCAGAUAGUGCUGGAAAUGCUUUGUCACAAUGUCAUCUCGCUGGUGCUGCCUCUGAAUUGACUGCCUUGUCUAGUGUGUGUCUUCUCCAAACCAAACCAAAUUAAACCAAAAGUAAUUAGCAAAUAACAAAGUUAUGCCUUUUCGAAUCGGUUUUGGUUACUUAAUUUGUUGUUGUGUCUAUGUGUUUUUGAUCGAUGAAUUGGUGUUUUGGUUUGUGGUUACUUUGUUUACACACUAUAGCCAUGUUGUUUAGUAGAUUUAUCUGGUUUAUGUAUUUAAUGGGGUGUCGUUAUGGAUGUCAUUUUGUCUCAUUCUUUCAGUCUUCAUGGACAAAAAUAUUAUGAUGAACAAUCCCGAAAAGCUAAUUAAUGUAAAGUAAUCUAAAAAAACCUAAUGUAAAAGUGUAAAACAAUCUGAAAACACCUUAAAAAAAUCUUCUUAAUCGCUAUGCAUGGUGAUGAAAAUAACCCACUCAGUUAAAAAAUGAAGACUUGAACUUCACUAAAUUUAAGUUUUCUAAUGGACUUAUGUUAUUUGGUGAUGAACUACUUAUCUUAGCUUUUAUUUGAUGAUGAACUAUGUUAAGGACUUAUAUAUGGACUUCUAUAAGCUUUUUUUUCUUACCGAUUUAAGGAGUUUAUUCGUCAAAUGUUAAUUAUAAUAAUUUUGAAUUUUACUAAUUAAAAGUAUAUCUUAAUCUACUUGACAGGUUGAAAUCUCUGAACCUAUUUCAAAAGUGAACACAUCUUAUAAAAAGGGAACUACAAUUGGGGCACUACUAUAUAAUAAAAGAGUUGUCAUAUUUCGCGAUUCUCGCUCUACAGCUAUUGAUGAAAGCAAUAGGUAGUCUAUAUGUGUGUUUUUAAUUUCAAAUAUUCAUUAUCCUAUGUGAGUUUUUACUAAUAAAUUUUAUAUAAUCUCGUUCAAGUCGAACAUGUUUUAUCUAUCAUGCGGGAGUGAAUGUUUAUGUGAACAACUAAACAAAAGUUUGAUUCAUCAAAUUGAGACUUGUUGCGAGUUAGUGGCUAUUGAUUUGUUGGCAGGGAUGGCCCGUGCAAAUCUAAAUCAUUAUCUCGUUCUUCAACGUCAAAAUAUGUUCGUUAUCAGUGACAUUCUCAUUGGUUGGCUUUCAUAUAUACAUGGUAAAUUACAUCUCAUAUUUGUUUAUAUAUACAUCUGUAUUCAAUGUAUGAUGGAUAUUUUUAAUGCAGAGGUAUCAAGCCUAUAAGGUUAUGCUAGAAGGGGAUUAUCUACACGAUCUAGAGCAUCUCAAAUACACCAAACAUCUUGAGGGUCACGAAACAUAUUAAAUACCAAUUGUUGACUGGUUCAGGAUCAUUUUAUGUCAUCACAUGUUACGCAAUUGUAAGUUAUUAAUAGCCUUCUUGCUUUCUUUGUUGUUUUUAUUUUGUCUUUUUUGUUAUUGAGAUCUUAGUAUUGUUUUGAUAGGGGUGAUCAUCUUCAUAUGUCCAAAUGUAUGGCCAGGGGAGUUUCUUUAACUCCUAUGUUUUCUAUAGUCAGCCAAUCAAAUCACAAAGGAGACCCAACACAUGGUAAUUUAUUUUAAUCUUCGAUAAAUUAAGUAUCUUAGUUUAUAUAUAAGUUAGUAUUGUUUUUACGAUGCGCUAAAUAAGCUAAAUUUCAUAAAAACUUUAUGUAUAAGAAUUUUUUUUUUUUUUAUCAGUGUACUACUUCCCCAUGAAGAAGAUUUUAGUUUUAAUUUGUCACAAGAGGUAUUUUGACAGUUCAAUUUUCAUGUGAUGUACCCUAAACUUCACUCAAAAUAUUUUCUUUUGGUGAGGAUUUCAUUUCGAGAUAUGAGACCACUGAUUCACUGAUUAAGAAGUUAUUUGAAGUUCAAAAUAGAGAAGAUUCAAACUAACCCUGUUUAUAAUAUGAUUCUACAAUAGUUCAAUUUAUAGUCUAAUAUUGACUUAUGUGUUAGUAUUUUUGUAUUGGUUUCCCUUGAUUGCCAAUGGGUUUAUUUAUGGUAAUGAUGCAGUGAUUAACUCUAACUUUCUCAAAAUUUGAUUUAGAUCUUGUGGCCUUAUUGUUUUGUAGAUUUCACCGUUUUUUGUAUUAAAUGUGCAAUCUAUGUGGUUGCCAUUUUGUCUCACUUCUUCAAUGCCCAAUAGAAAAAUAUAAUGUGGUGUAUGCGAGAAGUUUCACUUUUCAAGUUGAUGGUAACCAGAUUAACACAAACUCAAUCAUACACAUAAUAAGUGUACAAUUACAUUACUCCAUAUCUUUUUUUUAAAUUAUACUUGUAUUGGAGUUUUAUUUGCAUAUAUUACAUGUUUUAUAUGAUUAUGAUAAAACCUCUUCUUCUUUUUUUUGUCAUGCGCAGAACCUUUACGCUUCUCUAUGUUCAUGUACGUACAUUACUUAAGUAUUUAAAAGUUACAAGAAUUUCUCCAAUUGCACGUUUAAAAUCAUAACAUCAAAAAACCAACUACUUCUCUAUCUUCAUGUACGUACGUUACUUAAGUAUUUAAAAGUUACAAGAAUUUCUCCAAUUGCACGUUUAAAAUCAUAACAUCAAAAAACCAACUACAAGUUCAUGUCGGACCCAAAAGUGUUUUUGAUUGAAACUACUCUUAAAACCAAACAUUAUAAAGAAGAAAAGCCUCAACCAUAUAUUACAUUCCCAAUAGCACAAAUAUCCAAAUCUAAUAUUGCAUCUGUGUUGGAACUGAUUUGGACUUAAACACAUCUGUCAAACAUUAUGGUCAGUUUCAUAUUGAACAUGGAUUGAAUAACAAGAAGCUUAAGUCUUAAACUCAGUUUCAGAGAAGUAAUCCAAGUUGUAUAUCAGUUGGAUUACAUAGAGGUUCAUUGCAUUUAACCUGAAUGCAAUUCGAAUUAGUAUUGUGAUAGGAUUAUGCCUAUGCAGUUGUUAACAUUGAGUACAAUAAGGAUUUGGUUAUGGGAUUGAAUCCGGUUUUGUGAUCACUAUAUAAAGGAGGCUAAGUCCCUGUGCUCUUUAUCGUUUGGCAUUGAGUUUUGGCAUUCCCAUAGUGCUGCUUGAUACAGAGACACAGAAGACCUGCAUCCAUCUCUUGUUUGUGUGCGCAGCCAACCCAGAAGUCUAUCACAAUGGUGUCAUCAUCAAAGAUAGCAGUCAAGGCAGAUUGGAGAUCCAACCAAGGUAUGUUCCUAGUUCAUCUGGGAUAACUUAAGUAUGUAGAAUGUAUUAAAGUGUUCUUGAAUAUAUGCAUGUGUGUUUGUAUGUUUAUGAAAUAAGAUCCAAACUUAAGUUUUUAGAUGGCUUUAAUAGGAUUUUGAAAACCAUCUAAUGGCAUUUGAACAUAUACUCAUCCUUUAUACGACUUAUUAUCUCAUCUUAUCAUCUCUUUUUGUCAUCGGUGUAUAAGUUUGGACUUCGGCUGUGAAGUUUAAUUGGCUAAGUUUUCUUUCCUUUGUGGAAUAUUGGUAUUUUUCGCCAUGUCUCUCAUUAUAAUAUUCAUCUAUUAAUGCAGUUGUUUGUUGAUAUAAAAAACUUAACAUCAUUUACAUUCCCAUUCAGUCAAAUUUCCCAACCAAUGUUAACUAAGGAGCCCUCAAAUUAAAGAGCUCCGCUCCAUAUCGAGUAACUCAUGGCUCAACAAGGAUCGAUGCGGACACGGUAGAGGCAGGCACAGAUGAUGCAGAAAAAAACUAACGUCAGGACAAUUGAAACAAAAUCGGAGUCUCCACGGUUUGAGACCGCGCUAGUAGUGCAUGCCUCACUUCCACGCGGGACACACUUGGCUUAGAGUUGGCGCCCUACGCGAGUCUUGGUCACUCUUUAAUUUCUAUUCUUGCUCCCGUUGUGAACUAGUCCGCCCUUGGCCAACUUGUCAAGCCAAUCCUUUUCUCUUAGUUGUGCAAUAUGCAUAUAGUAGGAGUGUUGUUUCACCUAGCCUUCUGACCUUCAUUGCAAAAGUUUACCAUUUCUCAGUUCUUGACUUUCUCUCACUCAGCGCGAUAGACGGUAUUGGUGACAAACUCUGCCACGGAAGCCCUCCUAGCAACAGUCAGAUCCUCCUAGUGCUUUAAGCUCAUGCUGGUGAUUUGAUUGUUACUUGAUUUGUUCCACCAGCCCCGCCACCUCUUGAAUCUGGACCUGCCGAUGUUUGUCUCGAGUUUUCAAAUCCUCCUGGAAACAAGAAACAGUGGUCUUGGCCUCUUUGCCUUCUGCUUCCGGACCUCCAACUCUCCUUGUAAACGAGCGAUAGUAGUCUCUGCAGCAUUACUGGCAGUAGCGAGAGGGGCAUCCAUCUCAGACACUUUAACAUUGGCUACCCUCACCUCAUCUCGGAUCACCCCUUCCCGGACUUCCAUCUUAGUUAUCUGCCUCUCGCUGGCUCCAUAGACAGUGGCGUAGCCAGACAUCUCACUUAAAAGGGUCAAAUUUGAUUAAUUAGAAAAUUAAAUUAUUUUCAGUCACUCUUUAGCAACAAUACAAUUUUACUUAAAAGAAUGACGCAAACUUAAUUUCAACAAUAUUUUUGUUCUAUCAUCUCUAAUAACUUGGAUUAGAAUUUCAUGCACGAUAAAUAUUAGAAAAAAAAGAAAGAUACUUUUUCUUUUGUUUGAGAGAUAAUGCAUGUUGAUGUAUGGUAAACAUUAAUUAAUAUGUUGUUUCCAUUUAGUAAGAUAAAAAACCCUUAACACGAUUUGUAUUAAUUGGAUUAAGUAUUUGAAUAGUAUAAAUUUUUAUUUCAUUCUAUUAUUGUUGAAGAAUAUUUAAGACUAAUUAAGAAUUUAUUAGAGAAAAAAUGUCAAUUUAUGUUUUAUUUCUAUUGAUAUCCAAUACAAAUGAAAGCUAAUUACUCUUUUUAAAAAUUUGAGAGGGUUCAAUUGAACCCCUUGCCCCUAGCUACCUACGCCAUUGUCCAUAGACAACUUUCACACCCUACACGAGAACAAAACCACGAAGUCAACAAAACAGACAACAAACAAUAUCAAAGGAGAAGACAAUGUUACUAACUCGUGUCAGCUUUUCUUGAUCUAGCCAGAGGGCAAUCAUGGGGUCCUCAUGCUUGAGCACAUAAGUCUUGGAACUGCAAUGGUGCAUGUCGUAGACUAUGCGUUGGACAUAGGGAUCCUCCGCCCUGACACCCCACAAGACUUCCAUGAUUUUUGAGAAAGACUGGUUGUGCAUCCGAGACGAGUUGGAGCCUUUCUUCUUCUUCUUCGAUUAUGGCUCUAAUCCCGUUCUAGACUGGCAUGGGAAACAAUAAUAAAUAAAUAGAAACAUAUGAGGAUCUAAUUGGACCCGUUCUAGACCUUGUUGGUUCCAGUUUCUAUAUCCCGAUGAUGAGAUCCAUAGAUGUCUCUAUUUCGAUCUGAAAUUCUUUCUCUUGAUGUAGAUCUAAAAUUCUUUCUCUCGAUGGGUUGGUGGGGAAGAUUCUAACCUUGGUGAUGGGUUAUUGGUGGAGAUAAAUGUUUUUUGUGUUGAACGAAAAAGAAGAGGGAUGGAGAAAGAAAUAUAAGGAGAAGAACUGAAGAAGUAAAGUUUGAAGAGGGAGACUAAAACUUAGAAAUAUUUCUGUACUGCUUGAAUUUGUUCUUGUGAAAAGGAAAGAGAAAAAAAAACAUUUCUGUACUGCUAGAAGGAGAAGUUUGGAAAUAGAAAAAGAUGAGAAGAAAAGAUUAAUUAAUUACUUCAUUCGAGAAGAAGUGUAACAAAAAUGACAUUGUCAUGUCACAUGACAAAUUUUGAAUUUAACCAGACCAAAUGACAACAUUAAAGUUGCUCGAUCUUACUUGUCGAAAGUUGUCAUGAUAUAUAUGAUUUUUUUGAUUAAAUUGCAACAGGUGGACUUGCUCUUAAAAGUUAAGGAUACAGAGGUACGAUUCUAUAGAACAAGUCAUGUUCAAGUAAGGUCAUUGUCAUAUAUAUGAUUAUGACACAAGAAAACAAUCGAUUUGUCUUCUAAUUAUGGGUAAGUAAUGAAAUUAGUUAUUUCUUUAGAUUAAAAAAAUACAAAUAAAAUGUGUCAUUUUGUCCCCCCCCCCCCGCGACGGAAUUGACAAAUUAAGCAACAUUGUAGUUACGCUUAUAAUAUUCGUUUUCAUUGUUCCUUCACUUCAUUGUAGGUGACUCACAAACCAAUAGCUACCGAUUUCAGUUAUUUCUCAUGCCCAAAGAUUCGGGGCUGAACCAUAAGAAGUUAGUACAUUGUUCAUUUCUCGUUUUUCCCUUCACGAGCCUACCUAUAUGAAGCAACAUUGUUUUUCCCUUCAUGAGUACCUAUAUGUUUAUUGAAUUAUGUUCGAUUUAUCGAUCAUAGUUAUAUAAUUAUACAUAUAAACGUUUUGAUUGUUUGAUUUACAUUUCAUCACCUGACGUUGCAAGGUAUAUAUUAAUAUAUACAAUAUAUAGCUUGCAACGUCAAGUGAUGAACAAAUUAAUUUAAUGAAUGAUUAUAGCUGAGUUUCAGCAUUAUGUUCUUAGAAAUAUUAUUUCACUCUCUAACUGCACUGCCUAUAAAUUGGCUGCCUCGUCUAGUGUCCUCAUAAAUUAACCAAACCAAACGAAACCAAACACAAUUAGCAAAUAACAAAGAAAGACAUGACCAAUUACUACACCAGAUCAUAUAUUUCGAUCUCUAGAUUGCCAACCCUGUAAAUAUAUAACGAUUCUGAGUAAGAAGUAGAAACUUUCUCCACUGUAACAACUAGCUAGCUCCAAUGUUCCAGGUCCCCAGAAAUUAACAAAGCAAUAUGGAAUAACCCUUACUAUUUUGUUUUGUUGUUCAGAUAAUAGAAUUACUCUAUCUACCCCAAAUCGUCAUUGUCGCUGACUCACAAUCAUGAACUACUUAUUUGAAUAACCACUAACUCGUCCAAAAGUCCAAAGAUUUGAGGCUAUAUAAUUAGGGAUCCAUAAGAUAUUGGUACAUUGUGAAAGGUAAGUAGUUGGCUAGCUCAUUUUCUUGCUUUCACCUCUACAAACCUACCCAUGCAGCUCAGCUCACAGCUUACUGCUAUAACAACAGUCUAAGAGACAUAUGUUAGCGUUUUGGUUAAUUUAUCGAAAUAUUUGCCCAUUCAAGAUCAAGUUUAUUGUAACAAGUGAAAUAGUAUUACAAACAACUACCAACAUGAUUUGGUGAACACAUUUAAUUAAUUAAUGAUUACAGUACUGAGUUUUAGUUAGGAAAAUUAUUCCACUCUCGAACUGCUGCCUAUAAAUUCACUACUCAUAAACCAAAUCAAACCAACCAAACGUAACAAGCAGAUAACAAAGAAACAUGGCUGGAGGCAGAGAAUUCAAGGUGAGUACGAGGAAGCAAGAAGUGGUGGCCGCUGCACUGCCAUUGCAAGAGCACUGGCUACCACUCUCCAACCUCGACUUGCUUCUGCCACCAGUCGAUGUGGGAGUGUUCUUCUGCUACAAGAACCACAACAGCCCUUCUGUGACCGCCGCCAGGGUCGGGGUUCUGAAGAAGGCCCUGGCCCAAGCACUGGUGACAUACUAUGCCUUUUCGG